UUUAUAUGUAAAUUUCAUGAAUUUUUGAUACCUGGUUAGAGAGCAGCAAAUUCUGGAACUUAGGUGUGACAAUUUGUGUCACACCUCUUGAUGUCAACUUGUUGAAUUUAAUUGGAUAACCUAUGCAUGUUAGAAUUGAAUGAAAUUUGGCAUGGUGAAUUGUUGAUAUGUUAGGAUGUUGUAUGAAUUUUUGUAGAAUUUUUCACUGCCUUUUCUAAUUGAUCAUGAUUUUUCAUUUCUGGUGAUUGAAAUUGCAAGCUCAUGUGAUACAUGUUGGUAGAUUGAUUGGGAAAUCCUCAUAUUGUAUUGUAUGGCCAUGAAAUUUGAUAUGCAUGAACUAGACACGUUGUGUGACC
rnacentral:lncRNA from 1 species